rnacentral:snRNA from 1 species
AUAGACAUGACCGAUGCGGAUCAAAGUGUAGUAUUUGUUCUUAUCAGCUUAAUAUCUGAUACGGGUUGUAUUUGGACCCAAGAUAUAAAACAUAUUUUUGCAAGUUGGUGGAAUGCUUGAAGCCUGCUUCACCUCCACUGCGGGUCGACCAGGUAUUGCACUAUCUUCGGGACCGGCCCAUGUUUU